ACAUACGACCAUAGGGUGUGGAAAAUAGGGCUUCCCGUCCGCUCAGCCGUACUUAAGCCACACGCCGGGAGGUUAGUAGUUGGGUGGGUGACCACCAGCGAAUCCCUUCUGUUGUAUGUU
rnacentral:rRNA from 2 species